UACAGAGGUCUCAAGCGUUGUUCGGAUUCAUUGGGCGUAAAGGGUGCGUAGGUGGCGGGGUAAGUCUGGUGUGAAAUCUCGGAGCUCAACUCCGAAAUUGCACUGGAUACUGCUCUGCUUGAGGGUUGGAGAGGAGAUCGGAAUUCACGGUGUAGCAGUGAAAUGCGUAGAUAUCGUGAGGAAGACCAGUGGCGAAGGCGGAUCUCUGGACAAAUCCUGACGCUGAGGAGCGAAAGCGUGGGGAGCAAACAGG
rnacentral:rRNA from 1 species